GCACAACUAAGUGACGCCAAUGAUUAAGAGCCAAUGUGGGGGAUGUGCUAGACAAGGACCCAAGAGUGACUGACAUGGACAAUUCUCCCUCCCACCCAGUUUUCAUUCUGGGAGGUGUGGGGGUCUAACAGCACAUUCCACUGAAAACCUGCUCCGUAAACGUUCCAUGGUAACGGAGACACACGAGAGAGACAGAAGAAUUUCCACUCCCGAGCGUAAUGCUUUCCAUAAAUACAGGAGGGAGAGGUGGCAGUUCCUAAAGAUUCCUUUGGAUUCCCUAUAUGGUGCCAUAAAACCUCUAAGGGAGAGCCUCAGUUUAGGGCAAUGACACAAUUGCAGGAGAAAUUCUCAAGGCCUGGCCUACAUCACAUGGAUAAGCGCUCUGGGCCCAGUCACUGGGGAAGACCAGCAGGAGUCUGGUCUGACACAAAUUAGAACAAGGCUUUAUUUCACAGGAAAAAUUAAAGGACAAUUUUGUAAUAAAGAGCUUAGAAGAUCUUAUAAAAUAGGGAUCCCUGGGUGGCGCAGCGGUUUGGCGCCUGCCUUUGGCCCAGGGCGCGAUCCUG